UCUGCUGGUGGGACUCUUGGAGAGCUUUCUUCUCCUUGGUCAGCUUUGCAACACUCUCCUCCACAGAAGCCAUCUCCUCUGUCAGGACACCCAGAAGUCCAGCUUUGAAGAAAACCUGAGACAGGAUGGAAGAAACCUGACGCUCACUGUAUCCCCAUGCCAGUAAAACCAAUUGCAUGGGAGGACAUGAGCCCUUGGACCACAUCUCAGGACUACCAAGCCCGAAGGACUCAUAGCUGUCCCUGUUCAAAGUCCUCCUGAUUGUA